rnacentral:rRNA from 1 species
AUUCUGGCUCAGGAUGAACGCUAGCUACAGGCUUAACACAUGCAAGUCGUGGGGCAGCAUAUAGAUAGCUUGCUAUUAUGAUGGCGACCGGCGCACGGGUGAGUAACGCGUAUCCAACCUUCCCCAUAGUAGGGUAUAGCCCGGCGAAAGUCGGAUUAAUCCCCUAUGUUGUUUGAAGCGGACAUCUAAUUCAAACCAAAGAUUCAUCGCUAUGGGAUGGGGAUGCGUCUGAUUAGGUUGCAGGCGGGGUAACGGCCCACCUGGCCGACGAUCAGUAGGGGUUCUGAGAGGAAGGUCCCCCACACUGGUACUGAGACACGGACCAGACUCCUACGGGAGGCAGCAGUGAGGAAUAUUGGUCAAUGGGCGCGAGCCUGAACCAGCCAAGUAGCGUGCAAGGAAGACGGCCCUACGGGUUGUAAACUGCUUUUAUGCGGGGAUAAAGUGCGGCACGUGUGCCGUUUUGCAGGUACCGCAUGAAUAAGGACCGGCUAAUUCCGUGCCAGCAGCAGC